CUAGUAGGCACGAGUCAUCAGCUCGUGCCGAUUACGUCCCUGCCCUUUGUACACACCGCCCGUCGCUACUACCGAUUGAAUGGCUCGGUGAGGCCUCCGGACUGGCUCAGGAGGGUUGGCAACGACCCCCCCGAGCCGGAAAGCUGGUCAAACCCGGUCAUUUAGAGGAAGUAAAAGUCGUAACAAGGUUUCCGUAGGUGAACCUGCGGAAGGAUCAUUA
rnacentral:rRNA from 1 species